GACGUUUCCAACGCCGACUAUGGACUUUAUUCCAGUCGUAGAUAUAACAAAGUCCGAUCAAUUUCUAUUCCUUUUCUGUUUAUACUUCUACUGCAAUGCGCUCGUCGGAUUCCACUUACGAGCCUUACCGCCACACGUCCGUUGUCUCUCGUGUCCGGCCCAAGAAUGUCUACUGGAAUUUCGAUUUUCCCCUCCAGCCUCGUCGUAGAUUAUUGUUUUCACCUUACCUCCUGGUGGGCUAAGGUGUUAAAAAAUGAAGAAUUUUGCCAUAUUUAAAGAACUUUUCCAUGCAGGAUGACUAUGUACGGAAUGAUUUUAAUA